AGAACGAACGUUAGCGGCGCGCUUAACACAUGCAAGUCGUGCGAGAAAAGGCUUCGGCCUGAGUACAGCGGCGAACGGGUGAGUAACACGUAGACAAUCUACCUCCUGGUGGUGGAUAACCCUCCGAAAGGAGAGCUAAUACAGCAUAAGACCACGGGCUCGCAGAGCCUGCGGCCAAAGAGGGCCUCUCCAUGGAAGCUCUCGCCGAGAGAUGAGUCUGCGCCCCAUCAGCUUGUUGGUAGGGUAAUGGCCUACCAAGGCUAAGACGGGUAGCUGGUCUGAGAGGAUGAACAGCCACACUGGAACUGAGACACGGUCCAGACUCCUACGGGAGGCAGCAGUGGGGAAUCUUGCGCAAUGGGCGAAAGCCUGACGCAGCGACGCCGCGUGAGCGACGAAGGCCCUCGGGUUGUAAAGCUCUGUGGAGAGGGAAGAAUAAGGGCAGGCGAAUACCCUGUUUGAUGACGGUACCUCUUUAGCAAGCACCGGCUAACUCUGUGCCAGCAGCCGCGGUAAGACAGAGGGUGCAAACGUUGUUCGGAAUUACUGGGCGUAAAGCGCGUGUAGGCGGCUUUGCAAGUCGGGUGUGAAAGCCCACGGCUCAACCGUGGAAGCGCACUCGAAACUGCAUAGCUAGAGUCCUGGAGAGGAAGGUGGAAUACUUGGUGUAGAGGUGAAAUUCGUAGAUAUCAAGUGGAACACCGGUGGCGAAGGCGGCCUUCUGGACAGUGACUGACGCUGAGACGCGAAAGCGUGGGGAGCAAACAGGAUUAGAUACCCUGGUAGUCCACGCCGUAAACGAUGAGUGCUAGGUGUCAGCGGGCUUUGACC
rnacentral:rRNA from 1 species